rnacentral:rRNA from 1 species
UACGUAGGGUGCGAGCGUUGUCCGGAAUUACUGGGCGUAAAGAGCUCGUAGGUGGUUUGUCGCGUUGUUCGUGAAAACUCACAGCUUAACUGUGGGCGUGCGGGCGAUACGGGCAGACUGGAGUACUGCAGGGGAGACUGGAAUUCCUGGUGUAGCGGUGGAAUGCGCAGAUAUCAGGAGGAAUACCGGUGGCGAAGGCGGCAUCCUGGACCAUUACUGACGCUGAGGCGCGAAAGCUAGGGGAGCAAACGGG